rnacentral:rRNA from 1 species
CGGGUGGAACUUAAGGCAUAUCAAUGAAGCGGAGGAAAAGAAACCAUCAGUGAUUGCCCCUAGGUAACGGCGAGUGAAGCGGCAACAGCUCAAAUUUGAAAUCCGGCCUUGGUCAGAGUUGUAAAUUGUAGAGGGAUCCUUCUGGUGAAAGCCUUCCGAGUUCCUUGGAACAGGACGCUUUAGAGGGUGAGAGCCCCGUACGGGUUGGACACUAAGCCUGUGUAAAGCUCCUUCGACGAGUCGAGUAGUUUGGGAAUGCUGCUCUAAAUGGGAGGUAAAUUUCUUCUAAAGCUAAAUACCGGCCAGAGACCGAUAGCGCACAAGUAGAGUGAUCGAAAGAUGAAAAGUACUUUGAAAAGAGGGUUAAAUAGCACGUGAAAUUGUUGAAAGGGAAGCGUUUAUGACCAGACCUUUGUCUGGCGGAUCAUCCGGUGUUCUUCACCGGUGCACUUCGCCAGGCUCAGGCCAGCAUCGAUUUCUGUAGGGGGAUAAAGACCAUGGGAACGUAGCUCUCUUCGGGGAGUGUUAUAGCCCUAGGUGUAAUACCUCUACGGGGAUCGAGGUUCGCGCUUCUGCAAGGAUGCUGGCGUAAUGGUCAUCAACGACCCGUCUUGAAACACGGACCAAGGAGUCGAACAUUUAUGCAAGUGUUUGGGUGUUAAACCCUCACGCGUAAUGAAAGUGAACGGAGGUGAGAGCCCUGGUGCAUCAUCGACCGAUCCUGAUGUAUUCGGAAGGAUUUGAGUAAGAGCAUAACUGUUCGGACCCGAAAGAUGGUGAACUAUGCGUGGAUAGGGUGAAGCCAGAGGAAACUCUGGUGGAGGCUCGCAGCGGUUCUGACGUGCAAAUCGAUCGUCCAAAUCCUGCCAUGGGGGCGAAACGCCUUAUCGAAACCCCUCUUCCCGGC